rnacentral:misc_RNA from 1 species
AAGUCGUAACAAGGUUUCCGUAGGUGAACCUGCGGAAGGAUCAUUAAAAAAUGUGGUACCAAUUGUUGUACUAAAUUAAUCAUCCUACCCUUUGUGAAUUUGUUGUAUGAAUUUUUUAAAUGGGUCUUUCCCUAAGUUGGAUUGUAGUAAAAUACAAAAAGACUUAGGGGAAUGACUUUUUUAAAAGACUUUUUUUUAAAUUAGAACUUUUUGUAUUCAUUUGUCUAAAAUUUAUUUUUAUAAUAUAAAAACAACUUUUGACAAUGGAUCCUUGGUUCUCGCAACGAUGAAGAACGCAGCAAAAUGCGAUAAGUAGUGUGAAUUGCAGAAUACGUGAAUCAUCGAAUCUUCGAACGCAUAUUGCACUUUUUAGUUUACUAAAAAAGUAUGUCUGUUUGAGUAUCAGUAAAAUAUUCUCACAAACAUUAUUGUUUGUGGUAAUGAGUGUUUUACAACGAUAAACAAGUUGUUUCACUUUAAAUUCUUUUUUGUAAGUUUUAUACCAAUUUACAAAUUUAAAAUUGGAUAAAAUUUCCUUUAACGAGGAAUAACCUAAACAAUUUUAAAUUUUUUGGUUUGUAACAUUCAUAAAGGAAUCUAUACAUAAAUAACUUGAUCUCAAAUCAGAUAAGAGUACCCGCUGAACUUAAGCAUAUCAAUAAGCGGAGGAAAAGAAACUAACAAGGAUUCCCUUAGUAACGGCGAGUGAAGCGGGAAGAGCUCAAAUUUGAAAUCUUCAAGGUUUGACCUUGACGAAUUGUAGUUUAUAGAAGUGUUUUCUGUUGGAGUUUUGGUAAAAGUUCUUUGGAAUAGGACAUCAUAGAGGGUGAGAAUCCCGUAUUUGACCAUGACUUUCCAGCUGUGUGAUACACUUUCAAAGAGUCGGAUUGUUUGGGAAUGCAGUCCAAAAUGGGUGGUAAAUUUCAUCUAAAGCUAAAUAUUGGCGAGAGACCGAUAGCGAACAAGUACCGUGAGGGAAAGAUGAAAAGAACUUUGAAAAGAGAGUUAAACAGUACGUGAAAUUGUCAAAGGGAAGCGUUUGACACCAGUGUUGUUUUCUCGAAAAUCAAUUUAAUGAGUUCUUGUUUUUAAGUUAUUGUGACUUUAUCAGCGCAUUUCUCAUUUUACUUGACUCAUUGAAUGCACUUUUCGUUUAACAAGUCAACAUCAAAUUCUUUGGUGGUAAAAAGUUUAAAGGAAGGUGGCUUGGACUUCGGUUCAAGUGUUUAUAGCCUUUUUCUAUGCCAUCGGAGAGAUUGAGGUCUGCAGCGUAGAUCCUUCGGGGUUAGAUACCUUUGUGCUAAGUUAUAGUUUUUUAUAGACAACUUGUUGACUAUAAUUAACCCUGUAAUUUACUCGCUUAGGCUAUUUUACCUACGCUUAGGAUGUUGAG